ACCAGGAGAGAUCAGGUAACCAUGAACUUAAAUUUCCCAUAUUUCUUCAAACACCCAGGAGGUAUCAUCCAUGGCUAUUUCAUGAAAUAUCUUAGUUUGUUUCCAAAUUUCCUCCAGAUCUGUUACAAUUCUGCCAGUUUCAUCUAUGUAGGAACAGCAACUUUCAUUGAUUAUGGAACAAACCCUUCCUUGUAAAGCCAAAAACAUGUCUAGAGCCAUUCGGUUUUGUAAUACCACUUUAGAUAGGCUAGUUAUCUCUUCUUGUUCCACUUGGAUUAUAUCAAUGGUUUUACUUUCUAUUUCGUCUAUGGUUGCUGAGAUAUUUACAAUUGCCUUCUCUAAUUCGCUUACUCCCAAAGAUGGAAACAGCCAUCUUACAAAACUGUGAAAUGUGUUGUUCCGUUCAGCAAUAGGAUUAAACCAUUGCUUAAUCAGUUUAGCAAAACUUCUAACCCAGGUUCCAGAAGGAUAUAUGUCAAUAAUAGUAAGAUUGGGUAACACAGCACCUAAGGUGCAUGCCCCCUUCCAGUUGGGGGUAGAGUCUUAGAAGCAUUUUUUCCACAUAACCAAUACCAUCCUUUCCCUUUAGGAACGGGCCAUCACUGAACUACGAUAUCAUCUAUAUUAAUAGUAUGAUUGCAAUUUGAAUGGUGACCUACAUCUGUGGCA